rnacentral:rRNA from 1 species
GAUGAACGCUGGCGGCGUGCCUAAUACAUGCCAGUCGAGCGAACAGACGAGGAGCUUGCUCCUCUGACGUUAGCGGCGGACGGGUGAGUAACACGUGGAUAACCUACCUAUAAGACUGGGAUAACUUCGGGAAACCGGAGCUAAUACCGGAUAAUAUAUUGAACCGCAUGGUUCAAUAGUGAAUGACGGUUUUGCUGUCACUUAUAGAUGGAUCCGCGCCGCAUUAGCUAGUUGGUAAGGUAACGGCUUACCAAGGCAACGAUGCGUAGCCGACCUGAGAGGGUGAUCGGCCACACUGGAACUGAGACACGGUCCAGACUCCUACGGGAGGCAGCAGUAGGGAAUCUUCCGCAAUGGGCGAAAGCUUGACGGAGCAACGCCGCGUGAGUGAUGAAGGUCUUCGGAUCGUAAAACUCUGUUAUUAGGGAAGAACAAAUGUGUAAGUAACUAUGCACGUCUUGACGGUACCUAAUCAGAAAGCCACGGCUAACUACGUG